GACGAACGCUGGCGGCGUGCCUAAUACAUGCAAGUUGAGCGCUGAAGGUUGGUACUUGUACCUACUGGAUGAGCAGCGAACGGGUGAGUAACGCGUGGGGAAUCUGCCUUUGAGCGGGGGACAACAUUUGGAAACGAAUGCUAAUACCGCAUAAAAACUUUAAACACAAGUUUUAAGUUUGAAAGAUGCAAUUGCAUCACUCAAAGAUGAUCCCGCGUUGUAUUAGCUAGUUGGUGAGGUAAAGGCUCACCAAGGCGAUGAUACAUAGCCGACCUGAGAGGGUGAUCGGCCACAUUGGGACUGAGACACGGCCCAAACUCCUACGGGAGGCAGCAGUAGGGAAUCUUCGGCAAUGGACGAAAGUCUGACCGAGCAACGCCGCGUGAGUGAAGAAGGUUUUCGGAUCGUAAAACUCUGUUGGUAGAGAAGAACGUUGGUGAGAGUGGAAAGCUCAUCAAGGGACGGUAACUACCCAGAAAGGGACGGCUAACUACGU
rnacentral:rRNA from 1 species